rnacentral:rRNA from 1 species
UACCCGCUGGACUUAAGCAUAUCAAUAAGCGGAGGAAAAGAAACUAACAAGGAUUCCCCUAGUAACUGCGAGUGAAGCGGGAAAAGCUCAAAUUUGAAAUCUGGCGGUUCUUGACCGUCCGAGUUGUAAUCUAGAGAAGUGUUACCUGUGCUGGACCGUGUACAAGUCUCCUGGAAUGGAGCAUCAUAGAGGGUGAGAAUCCCGUCUUUGACAUGGACUACCUGCACGUUAUGGUAUGCUCUCAAAGAGUCGAGUUGUUUGGGAAUGCAGCUCAAAAUGGGUGGUAAAUGCCAUCUAAAGCUAAAUAUUGGCGAGAGACCGAUAGCGAACAAGUACCGUGAGGGAAAGAUGAAAAGAACUUUGGAAAGAGAGUUAAACAGUACGUGAAAUUGCUGAAAGGGAAACGCUUGAAGUCAGUCGCGUUGACUAGAAAUCAGCCUUGCUUUUGCUUGGUGUACUUUCUGGCCGACGGGUCAGCAUCAGUUUUGAUCACUGGAUAAAGUCUUUGGGAACGUGGCAUUCUUUUUGGAUGUGUUAUAGCCCAUUGUCGCAUACAGUGGUUGGGAUUGAGGAACUCAGCACGCCCGCAAGGGCCAGGUUUUUUUACCAUGUUCGUGCUUAGGAUGCUGGCAUAAUGGCUUUAAUCGACCCGUCUUGAAACACGGACCAAGGAGUCUAACAUGCCUGCGAGUGUUUGGGUGGAAAACCCAUGCGCGUAAUGAAAGUGAAAGUUGAGAACCCUUUCAAAGGGGAGCAUUGACGCCCGGACCAGACCUUUUGUGACGGAUCCGCGGUAGAGCAUGUAUGUUGGGACCCGAAAGAUGGUGAACUAUGCCUGAAUAGGGUGAAGCCAGAGGAAACUCUGGUGGAGGCUCGUAGCGAUUCUGACGUGCAAAUCGAUCGUCAAAUUUGGGUAUAGGGGCGAAAGACUAAUCGA